rnacentral:lncRNA from 12 species
UUCUCACCAUGAAAUGAGUUCCUUGGUUAGACAUGUAAUGAUGAAUUAAGCAUUUCAUAAUUCCACAGGUGGUGUUGUUGACAGAAACAUUGUAAGCAGAGAAGGUGAAUCAAUCCAUGGAGUAUCCCUAUCACACUGGAUGAAGGUUUCUCCCCAACUAGAAGGGCCUGCUG